rnacentral:lncRNA from 1 species
AUGUAUCCUGGAAAACAAAACAGCUGGUCUGCUAGAAGACAUGAUCAGACCACGCAGUGAGAGACAGACACACAAGGCAGCCAUCUGGGUUCCUAACAGUUCUCUGGUUCCCAGUUCCAUCCCAUCUGAUGCCUAAUGCCAUUUCCCACUUUGGAAUAUCAUGAGAUGACUGUGUAUUCGUCUACAAAGGAACUGAGGCACCAAGAGGUUAUGGAAUUUAACCAAGGUCACACAAUCAGAGUGGAGGAGCUGGGAUUUGAACUCAAGCAGGCUAGUUCCAGAGUCCAUGCUCUUAUCACUACGCUUCCUCUGAAGUCAUACUUACAGGAAAAGAGCAACUGGCAAUCCGAUUUGUGUGAGAGAAUGGAAUAUGUCGACUCUACCUCAGAAGACAGCCAAGACUCUCUGUAGACUGUCCAUGGCUUCUGCUGCUGGGAUGCACUACCUUCAAUCUUUCCUCCCACUGGUUCUAUGGCUGCUGAACUAGGAACUCUUUGAGAACAGUGACAUCUCCUAUACCUCUCGUACAUACCUCCACCACUGCAUGUAUCACCCUGACCUGUAAGUUAUCCCCUCUGUCAUUCUUGAAGUCAGGUACUUGUUCUUAUCUGUCUGUGUAACCAAAGCAUUUAUGACAGCAUCUGGCACGAUGCAUAGUUGGUCAAUAAAUACGUGUUGAAUAUUCAAAUAAUGCUUAAUGUUUGUCCCAGGUUUUAGGGAAGGAAAAGAAAAGAUACCCUAUUGUUUCUUUCUAGGUUGUCUAGGCUCAUAAAUGAAGGAAAAGGGUCAGGAAUAUGGAGUUGAAAAUACUAUAUAUGUUCUUAGAUUAUGUUCCUGUCCUGUAUUCUUUCAGGACACUGAAAUAAAACUGCUGAUUACAUCAAUGAAAACAAAUAUUCUAGUCUGGGUGGUCAGGCUUCUAGAAUGCUCGCAAUGUUGAUAUGGAUGCUGUUUACAGAGAUGUGUUCUACAGAAAUCGUUCUAAAGGAGCUAUACAUUCAUGAUGUGAACUUUUCUGCAUAUACUUUAUAUCUCAAUAAAUAUUCCUAAAGCAAAUGCUACAAAUCCAAAAAAUAUUUGUCCUAUAAGAUUUAAAUUUAGUAUCACUCUAAACUGUCUUUCUUUUCCAUCAGAAUCAAGUUAGUGAG